CUACGGGAGGCUCCAGUGAGGAAUAUUGCGCAAUGGGGGAAACCCUGACGCAGCGACGCCACGUGGAUGAUGAAGGCCUUCGGGUCGUAAAAUCCUGUCAGAAGGAAAGAAGUAUAUGGUAGCUAAUAUCUGCCAUAUUUGACGGUACCUUCAAAGGAAGCACCGGCUAACUCCGUGCCAGCAGCCGCGGUAAUACGGAGGGUGCAAGCGUUGUUCGGAAUUACUGGGCGUAAAGCGCGCGUAGGCGGCUGUUUAAGUCAGAUGUGAAAGCCCAUGGCUUAACCAUGGGCGUGCAUUUGAUACUGGGCAGCUUGAGUACUGGAGGGGGUGGUGGAAUUCCCGGUGUAGAGGUGAAAUUCGUAGAUAUCGGGAGGAAUACCGGUGGCGAAGGCGACCACCUGGCCAGAUACUGACGCUGAGGUGCGAAAGCGUGGGGAGCAAACAGGAUUAGAUACCCGAGUAGUC
rnacentral:rRNA from 1 species